rnacentral:rRNA from 1 species
CCUACGGGGUGCAGCAGUCGAGAAUCAUUCACAAUGGGGGAAACCCUGAUGGUGCGACGCCGCGUGGGGGAAUGAAGGUCUUCGGAUUGUAAACCCCUGUCAUGUGGGAGCAAAUUAAAAAGAUAGUACCACAAGAGGAAGAGACGGCUAACUCUGUGCCAGCAGCCGCGGUAAUACAGAGGUCUCAAGCGUUGUUCGGAAUCACUGGGCGGAAAGCGUGCGUAGGCUGUUUCGUAAGUCGUGUGUGAAAGGCGCGGGCUCAACCCGCGGACGGCACAUGAUACUGCGAGACUAGAGUAAUGGAGGGGGAACCGGAAUUCUCGGUGUAGCAGUGAAAUGCGUAGAUAUCGAGAGGAACACUCGUGGCGAAGGCGGGUUCCUGGACAUUAACUGACGCUGAGGCACGAAGGCCAGGGGAGCGAAAGGGAUUAGAUACCCUAGUAGUC